GUAACACGUGGAUGAUCUGCCCUGGACUCUGGGAUAAGCCUGGGAAACUGGGUCUAAUACCGGAUAUGACCUUACAUCGCAUGGUGUUUGGUGGAAAGCUUUUGCGGUUCAGGAUGGGCCCGCGGCCUAUCAGCUUGUUGGUGGGGUAAUGGCCUACCAAGGCGACGACGGGUAGCCGACCUGAGAGGGUGAUCGGCCACACUGGGACUGAGACACGGCCCAGACUCCUACGGGAGGCAGCAGUGGGGAAUAUUGCACAAUGGGCGCAAGCCUGAUGCAGCGACGCCGCGUGAGGGAUGACGGCCUUCGGGUUGUAAACCUCUUUCACCAGGGACGAAGCGCAAGUGACGGUACCUGGAGAAGAAGCACCGGCCAACUACGUGCCAGCAGCCGCGGUAAUACGUAGGGUGCGAGCGUUGUCCGGAAUUACUGGGCGUAAAGAGCUCGUAGGCGGUUUGUCGCGUCGUCUGUGAAAUUCUGCAACUCAAUUGUAGGCGUGCAGGCGAUACGGGCAGACUUGAGUACUACAGGGGAGACUGGAAUUCCUGGUGUAGCGGUGAAAUGCGCAGAUAUCAGGAGGAACACCGGUGGCGAAGGCGGGUCUCUGGGUAGUAACUGACGCUGAGGAGCGAAAGCGUGCGUAGCGAACAGGAUUAGAUACCCUGGUAGUCCACGCCGUAAACGGUGGGUACUAAGUGUGGGGCUCAUUUCACGAGUUCCGUGCCAUAUCUUACGCACUAA
rnacentral:rRNA from 1 species